UCUCUCUGGAGAUCACUCCUUUUGGAGCCCUUUGGGACAUGGUGAGAGUUUCUGCAAAGCUGUGAAAGGCACCGGGCAAGUGUCAGCCCUCCUUGUAAUUCUGCGACCUCCGCGCUCAAACACUGCCGCCGACUCGGGAGCUCGGAGGGAGGGGAGGAAGGUGAAGGGAUCACAGCAGAACUGCACCAGAGCAGCGGGACACUUUAGUGAGAUGAAAGGUCAACGCGGGCUUAGCGCUGUUGUGGUGUCAUUUCCUCUGUUUGUCCCUUGGUGGAGUUCUUGAGUUACUUUCUCCCUUCAGCCAAACGGUUUUAACUGCUUUCUAUGGGGGUUUUGUCGUCGUUUUUCUCCCGCGUUCGAAUUUGCUGUCAUGUUUACUGUAUUUAACCUUUUCCUCGUAUUAUUAUGAAUAUGUUAUUUCCCAGCUCACCUGAUUUUUUUCCCCCUUCUUUGGUGCGCGUGCGUGUGUGGGCACAAACUAAUAAUACGCAUUGAUUAACGCACAAAGCUAUAUAAAUGAUUAAAUAACCCUUCUCUUGAGGUUGGCUCCCACUGCAGACCAGAAAGGUAACUCUCUGGUCAGAGGCACCGACAUUCCCGAACUGCAGAACCGAACCGUUCCGGGCUGAAGGCGGAGGGAGCAGGGACCGCCGGGACAUAGCCGAACAAACACUAAUGGCAUCUGCAUAUCUCAGCCGUGACCCCGUCUUUCCAAUCACUACCACAGUAGGAAAGCCCCGUUGCAGAGCUUCGAAAAGCAGCGCUGGGGGGUGCAGAGGAGCUGGGGAAGCUCCCAGCCUGCUUUAGGAUUCCCCCACGUACAGCAGGCUGCGAAUGUCAGCAAGACGGAUUCCUUCCCACACGCACGAUGCCACCUCCGUGGCCUUAUCAGAUGUUCCCUUUAAGGACACAAGCUCUUAUUUCCCCUCUGUAUAUCUCCGGCAUCUCGGGCUAUUUUAUUUAUUACAGCCGAUUACGCUGGCGAUCCCGCUUCCCACUUGAUCUCACCAGAUCAGGAGGACAAACGUCUGAGCGCGUGUGGGCGUCUGUGCGCAUCGGGUGGGCAGGGGGGGCUGUGCUGCGCAACAGCUUUGCCCGGCUGGUUGUGGGGGGAGCCCUCCCCCGCCCGCAGCCGCUGGGACCGGCUCUCCGCGGGGCCGGGGGGUGGCUGGGCUUCCCUUCCCCCCCACUUCCCCAGCACGAAACGAAGCAGCGGGAUGCGGGGGGAGGGGGGAAGGGGGCAGGCCAGCCCUGGCCCCCUCCCGGCAGCCGCGACACGUGGAGCCGGAGCGACACUGCCAUCCACCAUGCAGUGCACGUCGGGCCCAUUUCCCACGCCGUUUGCCUGCCCUGGGGGAAGAAAAGGAGGAGGGGGAGGAAGGGGGAAUGAUGGAGAAGAGGGGGGGAGCCGUUACCUCUGCUCCGAAAGAGGAACCAAUCCACUGUGAAGGACGAGGCACUCCCGAGCAGGAAAGACAUUGCACAUUCAGAGAGAGAUUGCAUGUGAAGACACUGCAAAGGGGAGAGAAGGGGAGGGGGGCCGGGGGCAGCCCGAGUGUGAAAGGCGCAGUGUGUGUACGGAGGCCGGGAGUGGGGCGGGGGGCAGGGGGGUGGGGGUGGGGAGGGGGAAGGGUGACACUACACAUGGCAAGAGAAAGAGAUCACUCAUUCGCUUGGAAAACGCUCUCGCAAAGCAAACCGCGGUGGUAGACAUGGGGGACAGCGGGGAAGAUGCCACGGUCAGGAGGAGCCCGCACCGUGCAACAGUUCGGAAUCCGAUUAAAG
ensembl:lncRNA